GAUGAACGCUGGCGGCGUGCCUAAUACAUGCAAGUCGAGCGAACAGACGAGGAGCUUGCUCCUCUGAUGUUAGCGGCGGACGGGUGAGUAACACGUGGAUAACCUACCUAUAAGACUGGGAUAACUUCGGGAAACCGGAGCUAAUACCGGAUAACAUGCUGAACCGCAUGGUUCAACAGUGAAAGACGGUCUUGCUGUCACUUAUAGAUGGAUCCGCGCCGCAUUAGCUAGUUGGUAAGGUAACGGCUUACCAAGGCAACGAUGCGUAGCCGACCUGAGAGGGUGAUCGGCCACACUGGAACUGAGACACGGUCCAGACUCCUACGGGAGGCAGCAGUAGGGAAUCUUCCGCAAUGGGCGAAAGCCUGACGCGGCAACGCCGCGUGAGUGAAGAAGGUCUUCGGAUCGUAAAACUCUGUUAUUAGGGAAGAACAAAUGUGUAAGUAACUAUGCACGUCUUGACGGUACCUAAACAGAAAGCCACGGCUAACUACGUG
rnacentral:rRNA from 1 species